CCUACGGGUGGCUGCAGUGAGGAAUAUUGGUCAAUGGCCGCAGGGCUGAACCAGCCAAGUCGCGUGAGGGAUGACGGUCCUAUGGAUUGUAAACCUCUUUUGUCAGGGAGCAAAGGGCGCCACGUGUGGCGCUUUGCGAGUACCUGAAGAAAAAGCAUCGGCUAACUCCGUGCCAGCAGCCGCGGUAAUACGGAGGAUGCGAGCGUUAUCCGGAUUUAUUGGGUUUAAAGGGUGCGUAGGCGGAAGGUUAAGUCAGCGGUCAAAUGUCGGUGCUCAACACCGGCCUGCCGUUGAAACUGGUCUUCUUGAGUGAGCGAGAAGUAUGCGGAAUGCGUGGUGUAGCGGUGAAAUGCAUAGAUAUCACGCAGAACUCCGAUUGCGAAGGCAGCAUACCGGCGCUCAACUGACGCUGAGGCACGAAAGCGUGGGGAUCGAACAGGAUUAGAUACCCUUGUAGUC
rnacentral:rRNA from 1 species